CCAGAAGUGACUCUAUCAGGGUUCUCCAUGAACUAUUGAGAGUGCAUUCCCAGAGAAUGGGACUCUUGAUGAGGGUAUGGCUAGGAAAUCCUUUGCUAAAGAGGCUGUGGGUGAGCAUGGGUCCAGUCAGCAUUGGGGUGGCACCAAUGCUUGG
ensembl:misc_RNA RNaseP_nuc Nuclear RNase P